AAUUGCCUGACUGCUCAGGGCAGAGCAAGGAAAAUGUAGCCAGGCAGGAAGUACAGAUGGAGCGACCAAACUAGGAGGUUUCUGGGAAGAGGAAAGACAGAGGAGCAGUCUCAACGGAGAUACCAUGUAGCCACCAAAGGAGUAACCUGCAGGAGCAUUAUAGACAGAAAAGAGAAGAGGAUGUGGGAUGCCCUUCU